rfam:Botryotinia fuckeliana T4 unplaced genomic scaffold BcT4_SuperSuperContig_H3_V3__V4, whole genome shotgun sequence.
GCCCGGUUGGCACAAUUGGUUAGCGCGUGGGCCUUUUAAGACAGUUUCUGUCAUAUGAAAGCCCAAGGUUGAGAGUUCGAGCCUCUCAUCGGGCG